AGUGAACGCUGGCGGCAGGCCUAACACAUGCAAGUCGAACGGCAGCACAAGAGAGCUUGCUCUCUGGGUGUCGAGUGUCGGACGGGUGAGGAAUGCAUCUGAAUCUGCCCAUUUGUGGGGGAUAACCUCGGGAAACCGGGACUAAUACCGCAUAUGACCUACGGGUGAAAGCAGGGGAUCUUCGGACCUUGCGCAGAUGGAUGAGCCGAUGCCGGAUUAGCUAGUUGGAGGGGUAAAGGCCCACCAAGGCGACGAUCCGUAGCUGGUCUGAGAGGAUGAUCAGCCACACUGGGACUGAGACACGGCCCAGACUCCUACGGGAGGCAGCAGUGGGGAAUAUUGGACAAUGGGCGCAAGCCUGAUCCAGCCAUGCCGCGUGUGUGAAGAAGGCCUUCGGGUUGUAAAGCACUUUUGUUGGGAAAGAAAAGCAGCCGGUUAAUACCCGGUUGUCAUGACGGUACCCAAAGAAUAAGCACCGGCUAACUUCGUG
rnacentral:rRNA from 1 species